UUCUCAGGGCCUUCUGCCAAGGGCCCGCUUUGAUCUCCCUUAAAGGACAGCAUUAUCUGACCAGAGGUAAAUUGUAACCACUGAAAGUCCGCUGUUUCGAUUCUGGGCAAGAUGCUAUGGCAGAAGAGGGACCAUGAUGAACUACUUAGAAAAAUACAUAAGGCCAUACCCAUGCAGGAGACCUCUCCAGGUACACGUUUCCUGCUGCUGAAUGGCUUAGACUGGGAUUUGCAAGGAACUACGAAGUCCAAGACCUUUGCCUUUCUUUUAGAAGAAGGCACCAGCUUGUUCUCCAAUGUUGAAGGUCUUCUCCAGAGAUGAACUCUGAAAGCCACAUGUUGAGAUGGCCCCAUUACAGGAUGGAGAGCACCUGAACCCCCAAGUUAUGGACUAGAAGAAGACAGUUGCCUUGGAAAAUCAUCUGACCCACAUUGGACUUUACGUGAGGGGGAAAUAAACCUUUAUUAUGUUAAGCUACACAAUAAUAAAUAACAACAAUAAUUGUGUUUAUUUG